GAUGAACGCUGGCGGUAUGCUUAACACAUGCAAGUCGAACGGACUCUUCGGAGUUAGUGGCGGACGGGUGAGUAACGCGUGAGAAUCUGGCUUUGGGUUCGGGACAACCACUGGAAACGGUGGCUAAUACCGGAUGUGCCGAGAGGUAAAAGAGAAAUUGCCUGAAGAUGAGCUCGCGUCUGAUUAGCUAGUUGGUGAGGUAAAGGCUCACCAAGGCAGCGAUCAGUAGCUGGUCUGAGAGGAUGACCAGCCACACUGGGACUGAGACACGGCCCAGACUCCUACGGGAGGCAGCAGUGGGGAAUUAUCCGCAAUGGGCGAAAGCCUGACGGAGCAAUACCGCGUGAGGGAAGAAGGCUCUUGGGUUGUAAACCUCUUUUCUUAGGGAAGAACAAAAUGACGGUACCUAAGGAAUCAGCACCGGCUAACUCCGUG
rnacentral:rRNA from 1 species